AAAGGUCAAAGUUUGUUUCGGUACACAAAACUAUGCAUGUGGUCCAAAUUUGAAGGCUGUAGCUUGAGAAAUGUGAAAGUAGGUCACUAGGUCAAAAUCAAGGUCAAAUUUCAUUUCGGAACAUUAAACUAUGCAUGUGGUCCAAAUUUGAAGCAUGUACCUUCAAAAUGUGAAAGUAGGUCACCAGGUCAAUGUCAAGGUCAAAGUUUUUUUUCAGUGCACAAAACUGUGCAUGUGGUCCAAAUUUGAAGGCUGUAGCUAAAGAAAUGUGAAAGUAGGCCACCAGGUCAAAAUCAAGGUCAACUCAUGUCAAGGUUCAUCUUGCAACUCAAAACCAUACAUGUGGUCCAAAUUUGAAUGUUGUAGGUUUCUGACAAGAAGAUUUUAAAAGCUUUUCCCUAUAUAAGUCUAUAUGAACCAUGUGAUCCCCAGGGCGGAGCCAUAUUUGACCCUAGGGGGAUAAUUUGAACAAACUUGGUAGAGAACCACUAGAUGAUGCUACAUUACAAAUGCCAAAGCCCUAGGCUUUGUGGUUUGGACAAGAAGAUUUUAAAAGUUUUUCCCUAUAUAAGUCUAUGUAAACCAUGUGACCCCCGGGGCGGGCCAUAUUUGAUCCUAGGGGGAUAAUUUGAACAAAAUUAAUAGAGGACCACUAGAUGAUGUCACAUACAAAAUAUUAAGGCCCUAGGCCCUGUGGUUUUGAACAAGAGGUUUUUCAAAGUUUUUCCUUAUACAAGUCUAUAUAAACCAUGUGACCCCCGGGGCGGGGCCAUAUUAGACCCCAGGGAAAUAAUUUGAAUCAUCUUGGUAGAGGACCACUAGAUGAUGCUUCAUACCAAAUAUCAAAGCCCUAGGCUCUGUAGUUUUGGCCAAGAAGAUUUUCAAAGUUUUUCCCUAUAUAAAUCUAUGUAAAUAAUAGAAAUAAACAAAGGGCCAUAACUCACUAAACAAGGAGUUGCGUUCAAUAAACGCUUGAUGCCCCCGGUGGCAUCCUUGUCGAUACAAAGCAACCUAAGUCCAAAACGAGGUCAAGGUCAAACUGAGGUCAGGUAAUGUUUGAAGAUGAGGAAUGGUCACAGGUUACAUCUGUAUUAGUAUCAAUUCAUUCUUGUAAGCCGUAUUGAUGCUAGGCGAAACGGUCCCAUUUGGUUAACCAAGAGAUGGCCCAUAUAAAGCAACCCAAGUCCAAAAUGAGUCAAGGUCAAGGUCAAAGUGAGGUCAGGUGAUGUUUGAAGAUGAGGAAUGGUCACAGGUUACAUCUGUAUUAGUAUCAAUUCAUUCUUGUAAGCGGUAUUGAUGCUAGACGAAACGGUCCCAUUUGGUUAACCAAGAGAUGGCCCAUAUAAAGCAACCUAAGUCCAAAAUGAGGUCAAGGUCAAGGUCAAACUGAGGUCAGGUGAUGUCUGAAGAUGAGGAAUGGUCACAGGUUACAGCUGCAUUAGUAUUAAGUCAUUCUAGUAAGGGGUAUUGAUGCUAGACGAAACAGUCCCAUUUGGUUAACC